rnacentral:rRNA from 1 species
GACGAACGCUGGCGGCGUGCUUAACACAUGCAAGUCGAACGCUGAACCCGCUUCGGUGGGGGAUGAGUGGCGAACGGGUGAGUAACACGUGGGCAACCUGCCCCCGGCUCUGGGAUAACUCCAAGAAAUUGGGGCUAAUACCGGAUGUGACCGCUGGCCGCAUGGUCUGGUGGUGGAAAGUGUUUCCGGCUGGGGAUGGGCCCGCGGCCUAUCAGCUUGUUGGUGGGGUAGUGGCCUACCAAGGCGACGACGGGUAGCCGGCCUGAGAGGGUGACCGGCCACACUGGGACUGAGACACGGCCCAGACUCCUACGGGAGGCAGCAGUGGGGAAUAUUGCGCAAUGGGCGGAAGCCUGACGCAGCGACGCCGCGUGGGGGAUGACGGCCUUCGGGUUGUAAACCUCUUUCAGCAGGGACGAAGCGCAAGUGACGGUACCUGCAGAAGAAGCACCGGCCAACUACGUG